rnacentral:misc_RNA from 1 species
GAUGAAGAACGCAGCGAAAUGCGAUACGUAAUGUGAAUUGCAGAAUUCAGUGAAUCAUCGAAUCUUUGAACGCAUAUUGCGCUCUCUGGUAUUCCGGAGAGCAUGCUUGUUUGAGUAUCAGUAAACACCUCAACUUCCAUAUCUUUUUUGAAAUGGGAGUUGGACUUGAGUGAUCCCAACGCUUUUCCUCACCGAAAAGUGGCGGGUUACUUGAAAUGCAGGAGCAGCUGGACUUUUCUCUGAGCUAUAAGCAUAUCUAUUUAGUCUGCCUAAAAAACAGAUUAUUACCUGUGCUGCAGCUAACAUAAAGGAGAUUAGUUCUUGUGCUGACUGAUGCAGGAUUCACAAAGACAGGCUUCGGCCGACUUUGUAAACUCGAUCUCAAAUCAAGUAAGACUACCCGCUGAACUUAAGCAUAUCAAUAAGCGGAGGA